GCGGGGGAGGGGGUGGCUAGUGUUGAAUUUUGCACCUUUUACACCGUUUUAGGGUUUGGGGUUUUGGGUUCCUGCCUGGCCCCUCAGCUUGUGAGUUAUGUCACCCCUGCCCCCUCCCUGGGUGAUGUAGCAGGGAUAUGGGUAGGAGUCUGGGGUGAUGAGCUAUGCACAGAGAGAGGUGAUUUGUCCCCUCUUGCAAUCCCUCUGGACUCACUGGCUUGGGCCGGAUAUCUAAUCCCCACCUUGCUCCAGCCAUGGUGGCUCCAGGGUGCUCUGGGAGGCUGCAGGGCAUCAAGGGAAGGCUUCUCCCUCGGCCCCUUUGUGAGAUAGUGGAAGGCUGGCUGGGCAGGUUGCUCCGGCCGCACGCUCCAGACUGUGUUCGGUGCAACGCCCUCCCAUGACAGGGGUGUGGAACAAACCAAACAAGCAAAGGUUACAGCAGCGGUUCAGUCAACAGCAGCCUGCAAGGGAGAAAGGCUCCCAGGUGCUGAGCACCACCACCGCCUGCAGGAGCCCAGCCUAGGAGGAGGAGCUGGGAGGCUUUUUGCUCUGGAAUCAACAGAAGAGGCUACAGCCAGCAUGGACACAACGAGUGGAGGGAACAACGUGUCAGCGCUGUCCAACGACAAGAUCUUUGUGCUGACUCGCGUCUACCUGGGGGCCUCAUCUCUGAGCCUCGUCGGAAGCAGCUCGGUCCUUGCUGUAGCCACAAUCAGGGGGAGGUGCUUCCACAGCCAGCUGCGCCCCCUCUUCCUGCUGUCCCUGGCAGACUUCCUGGCUGCCUUGGUGCUGAUCAUCACGGCUUCCAUCCAGCUCCUUCCAGCCCAGCUCUUUGUCCUGGCUUACGAGUUCUGCCCCUACGGCCUGAUGCUGGCCAUGAUGUUCUACGCCAUCUCCUUCCUGAUGGUCAUUGUCUAUGCGUACGAGGUGAACCACACCAUCCGUGGCUGGAGAGUGACGCACGAGACAGCUCUGCAGGAGAGAAGCAGGUGCAUGGAGAGGGCGCAGCACUGCCUGCCCUACAUCCUGGCCUGGCUGCUCCCCGCCCUCACGUUCCUGGGCCAGCUGCUGUUCAGAGGCACGUCGGUGAGAGACAUCGCUCCCAUGUCCCUCGAACCCGUCAUGCCCCAUACAGCCAACCUCUCCCGAGGGGCCGACAGCCUGUACUGCUCCAGCUGCCUGAUCCUCAUCCACCGCUCCCAGGACGUCUGCUAUAAGGACGUGGGCGGGAAGGACACGGGCCUGGAGAUGAAAAUCCUCUUCUUCGUGUACCUGCUGCUGGUGCUCAGCUGCAGUGCGUUCCUCUACUGCAGAGUGAAGCUCUGGUGCAGGAGGAACAACGAGGUGCGGUUGCUGAACAUGGAGAAUGACGGUUUCGCCAGCAGGAACAUCCAGAGCGUGUGCAAAAUUUCUCGCUGCUUCCAGCUGGUUUUCCUGAUCUGCUGGACACCAGCUUUCCUGCUCAGCAUCCUCUCCUUCACCAGCAUUGAGCCCACCUCCAUCUUUGCACUGCAUGUUGCCAUGGCCCUGACCAUGUCCCUCCAAGGGCUCCUGCACAGUUUAGUCUAUGGCUGGCUGCGGCAGAACUUCCGCCAGGAGGCUCUGGGGGAGACGCUCCCCUUGAGAUACUACCCCGGCCUCAAAGCCUUCUACGAUGAAUCGUUUGGGGUUGAGUGCUAGGAGAGUGCCUGCAUCGUUCUCUACUGUUCCUGGGCCCCAAGUCUGCAGCAGCCGAUGGGCACGACACAGCUUCUCUCCUUACUGGGGGCUGGUCCCUCUGGGCACUGCACCAGGCAACAGUUAGGGUGCUGCAGAAUUUCAGACUUGGAAUGAAGAAUGACAUGGCAAGGUUGUCAGAUGGAAGCUGGCAAGGGACAUCUGAGAAGGCGUAGAUGGUAGGAGGCAGUUUGUGAUUAUGGGAUAUGCAGAUUAGCUGGAUAUUCAUGCUAAAGUAAUCAGCUAACACUGUUGAGAUCUACACUGCCACGUUUCAGGAGUUUAUCCCCGGUUAAGAAGAGAAUUUCAGACCUUCAUUAUAGCCUGAAAAAAAUUGCUGUUUGCAGAUUCAAGCAAACAGCACUCUAUCAGUGGCACUCAGUUCAUGCGUUUAAAGGUUUCUUUGUAACCCUAUAAAGGCUCAGAGCCCCAGCACAAUGGGCCUCAAUCUCAACCGAGGCCUCUGAGUGCUGCCAUAAAACACAUUUUUUUUUGUUUUUGUUUUUUUUUAAUAAAUUCAAGCUUAGAUUUUGGAGCACUAUUCUGUGCUGAAGGCUGGAUUAUGCAGAAAGUUCCAUAGUUAAGAACUGCAGAGCACACACGAUUCUGCCCUGUAGACCCUGGUCAUGUUCUCUGAACUCUCUCCUAUUUACCAAUAUUUUUCUGGUAGGUAGGUAGUUGAAUAUUGCAGUUAUUGUCACAUCAAAGCUGCAGAGAGAGCAGCUAUUCACUUUCCUGCUGCUUUAUUUAACCUCAAUUGCACUGACUUUAUUUGCAGCCUUAUGUUCCAAAUCCAUACAUAAUGUGCCUGUCCACUUUCGGGGUCUCUUUCAGCAACAGGUUCAGAUUUUUAAAGGUACUUAGGUACCUAACUCCUUGAUUUCAAAGGAUCUAAAUAGCUCUGAAAAGCUGGACCCUAAUGCCUUCCGUAUCUCUCCUAUCCACGAGUAUCUGGUUUCAGUUUUCCCCCUCAGAUUUUGGUGAAGAUUUGCUCUGUUCUGUUUGCAACUCUCUAAUUUUUCAUUAGAAUAAUAAUGGGGAGAACCCUCAUACAAGUCGUCUCAAACUUGACCCUAAAGACCCUGUAUUAUUAUAUUACAAGAUAGGACCUACAGGCCCCAAUCAGCAUCUGGGUUCCAUUGGGCUGGGUACUGUACAAACACACAAAGAUUGUCAUACUGGAUCAGAACUGUGAUCUAUCUAGGCCAGUACCUUGUCUCUGACGGUGGCAAGAACCAGCUGCUUCAGAAGCAAGGUACAUGAAACUCUCUAGGAGACAAUGACAGAAUAAAGUGCCUCUGGGCAAGUUUCUCCCCAAACCUAUCACACUCAGGGACUGGCUUAAACUCUGAAACAGGAGAGUUUAAAGUCCUACUAAAACCUGACAGUUCCAUGUCAUUUGAAAUAUUAUUUAUACAUAAGCAGGAUUAGCUCUGUUUGCGGUUCCUCCCACCCAUUAUAACUUGGUCAGUUCCUUGUUGGCAUCAAGCUUUUCAAAGGGAAUGGUCUCUCCCUUGAAGCUGCUCCCUCCUCCUGAUGAGUCGAAGCUAGGAUUUGGCAGGUAUGUUCGUAAUACUCUUUACCUACUGUUGCUG